rnacentral:tRNA from 3 species
GGGCGAUUAGCUCAGCUGGGAGAGCACCUCCCUUACAAGGAGGGGGUCACUGGUUCGAACCCGGUAUCGCCCACCA